UCGUCAUCUUUUCCAUAGUCUUCUUCCGCUGCUCUUAAGUGGAUUUGCUAUUUCCAAGCCUCUGAGUUAUUGCCACUUUGAGUACGCAAAGUUCUGAGAUGACUUGAUUGUUGAGAACUGGUGACCAAGCUUGGAAAAAUGAAGUAGUUUGUGAGAUCAAUUUUGAACUUGCAUCUUGUGAUCAAGAUGAUUGUGAGGUUGUGAGGAAAGUAGGGGGAGGAAAAUACAACAAGGUCUUUGAAGGUAUUAAUCUCAAUACCAAUGAGCGAUGCAUAAUCAAAAUCCUCAAGCCUGUGAAGAAGAAGAAGAUUAAGAGGGAGAUUAAGACAUUUGAACACAGAGGCAUGUUCUUGGAAGACAUUUGUUUGGAUUCUUGAAAUGAGUUACCUGUUGCUUUUGUUACAUUCAAGUCUCGGUUGGGUGCAGCAUUAGUCUCCCAAUCUCAGCAGCAUACAGAUCCACUUCUUUGGAUAACUGACAUGGCUCCAGAACCGAGGGAUGUAUCUUGGAGAAAUCUGGUGAUACCAUACAGAGUUUUGCCACUUUGCAGGCUAGGUGUCAUUGUUGCAGCCUCUCUUCUUACAAUUUUCUUUGCA